GAUCAUGGCUCAGGAUGAACGCUAGCGGCAGGCUUAACACAUGCAAGUCGAGGGGUAGGUACUUCGGUAAUUGAGACCGGCGCACGGGUGCGUAACGCGUAUACAAUCUACCUUUUACAGAGGGAUAGCCCAGAGAAAUUUGGAUUAAUACCUCAUAGUAUUUUUGAAUCGCAUGAUUUGAUUAUUAAAGUUCCAACGGUAAAAGAUGAGUAUGCGUCCCAUUAGCUAGAUGGUAAGGUAACGGCUUACCAUGGGCUACGAUGGGUAGGGGUCCUGAGAGGGAGAUCCCCCCACACUGGUACUGAGACACGGACCAGACUCCUACGGGAGGCAGCAGUGAGGAAUAUUGGACAAUGGGCGCAAGCCUGGAUCCAGCCAUGCCGCGUGCAGGAUGACGGUCCUAUGGAUUGUAAACUGCUUUUGUACAGGAAGAAACACUACUUCGUGAAGUAGCUUGACGGUACUGUAAGAAUAAGGAUCGGCUAACUCCGUG
rnacentral:rRNA from 1 species